UACGUAGGGGGCGAGCGUUGUCCGGAUUUAUUGGGCGUAAAGAGCGUGUAGGCGGUUCGGUAAGUCUGUCGUGAAAUCCUGAGGCUCAACCUCGGGCGUGCGAUGGAUACUGCCGGGCUAGAGGAUGGUAGAGGCGAGUGGAAUUCCCGGUGUAGCGGUGAAAUGCGCAGAUAUCGGGAGGAACACCAGCGGCGAAGGCGCUGCUCUGGGCCGGUACUGACGCUGAGGAGCGAAAGCGUGGGGAGCGAACAGG
rnacentral:rRNA from 1 species